UGAGCACCAACUUCAUGGCACUCUGCACUUCGAAGCGUGUGCAGCGGCAGUGCAUGACGCUGAGACGCUGAGCCUCUCUGGAAAUGCGGAUCAGAGCCCUGCGGAGAAGGGUGGACAGCCGCCUCACAGCCUCCGCUCGUCGUCACGUACAGUGUACCGGAGAGACUCGGCUGCAGAUGUGCGAGAGGAGGGAGUGCUGCUGAAUGACAACACGGAAGCAGCUCAAACACCAAUCAGAAGACGCCCGACUCUCACGUCAGCCAAUCAGAGCACACUUAAAAGCUUUCCUAAGUUGGAAAACAAAAGUAAACUGAAUUUCCCCUGAAAGAGGGAAACCGUAACAUGUGUAUGACCUACUACUGCAUUUGCCCAUUAUCCAACUAUCAUAAAAUGUUUCUAAUAUUUUGUGAGAACAUUAUUUUAUAAAUAUUAUUUUGUCAAAAACGAGAGCUCAAAAAUACUAUUAAAUAUGAUUAAACUAUUAAAUACCAAUUAUUGUAACAGUAACAGAUACAUGGCACAUCAUCCGGUCCCUAGUUAGUUCUUCACGUUCACUCAGGAGUAGACGGCUUGUUCACUGCAUAUUAGUCAACUGCACUGUAAGAGAAACAGAUACUCUGAGCACCUAGCAAUGGUCUAAGACUUAUACCAUUUGAGGUGGAGUAAAGUUUACUUUAACUGUACGAGGUUUAGGGUUUUCCCCAAAAACUGCAUUUUAAAGCUUAUUUGGAAGAGGAAGGAAGGCAGAAAUACUGCAACAGCUCGAAUAAUGAGAGAUUUUGUACUGGUUAACUAGUCCUGCACUGUACAUUCUGCUCAUUCAGCACCAGCAGCAGAACUAAUAAAAAAUAGGCCUGUGACUACCUGCUUCUCAUUAG